GGAAACAGAUGCUAAUACCGCAUAAAUCCAAGAACCGCAUGGUUCUUGGCUGAAAGAUGGCGUAAGCUAUCGCUUUUGGAUGGACCCGCGGCGUAUUAGCUAGUUGGUGAGGUAACGGCUCACCAAGGCAAUGAUACGUAGCCGAACUGAGAGGUUGAUCGGCCACAUUGGGACUGAGACACGGCCCAAACUCCUACGGGAGGCAGCAGUAGGGAAUCUUCCACAAUGGACGCAAGUCUGAUGGAGCAACGCCGCGUGAGUGAAGAAGGCUUUCGGGUCGUAAAACUCUGUUGUUGGAGAAGAAUGGUCGGCAGAGUAACUGUUGUCGGCGUGACGGUAUCCAACCAGAAAGCCACGGCUAACUACGUGCCAGCAGCCGCGGUAAUACGUAGGUGGCAAGCGUUAUCCGGAUUUAUUGGGCGUAAAGCGAGCGCAGGCGGUUUUUUAAGUCUGAUGUGAAAGCCCUCGGCUUAACCGAGGAAGUGCAUCGGAAACUGGGAAACUUGAGUGCAGAAGAGGACAGUGGAACUCCUGGUGUAGCGGUGAAAUGCGUAGAUUUAUGGAAGAACACCAGUGGCGAAGGCGGCUGUCUGGUCUGUAACUGACGCUGAGGCUCGAAAGCAUGGGUAGCGAACAGGAUUAGAUACCCUGGUAGUCCAUGCCGUAAACGAUGAAUGCUAGGUGUUUGGAAGGGUUUCC
rnacentral:rRNA from 2 species